ensembl:lncRNA
GUGAAACCCAUGGAUCAAGUGCCUCAGGAGCUUCAGUGGAAACAUUCAUAGGUGUUGGAUGCAGAAAAAGAUGCAUUGUGAGAUAGUGUGGAUUCCUAUGAUUUAUGUGGACAUCUGUCCUGUGAGAAGGGAUUGCCAGAUUUAACUAAGUUAAAUCUACGUACUGACAGAUGGCAAUGAUGGCCAUUGUAAGAAGUGCCUGAAUUAUUUAGAGGAGAGGAACAAACCAACUGUCAGUGAGGAGUUAGUGUCCAUAAGGAAGGAACAGCCAGGGAAGAGCAGGCAGACAAAAUGCUUGACAGCAGAGGAAGGAAAAAAUGGUACCCGGAUAAAUUUGAAGAAAGAGAUGAGAAAGUGAACAGCAUAAGAGAGAAGCACAGAUUUCCUCAGUGCUAUGAGGCUUAUCCCAACUGACAGAAGCCAUCUCUGCAUUUACAGAGACAAUUGC